UAAUAGGCCCCUCGCAUUAAAAACAGUCACUAAUCCACCUGCUCUGAUUUCCAGUGGAUAUGAAGAUCCUUGAUGGAAGAGGUCCUAGUGCUCUGUGGUGCGUCUCUCAGAUCAAGAGCACCAAGAAGGAAGAACUCUUCCGUAUAGUGGAUUUAUCAAUGCAAACAGCUGCUCUCCUGCACGUGGCUGUUGCGCACCAGAUUCAGAUGAUACAGUGAAUCUUGGCAGUGUGUCCUGCAGAAAUCCAUUUGAACAAAAGCAUAAAAACAAUGACGGCAUAAACUAAAUAAAAUUAUAAAUAAGCCUCA
ensembl:lncRNA